AAAAAAAAGUUAUGUGAUGAGAUUUUGGUGGACUCUCCUUUUCUCUUCGCAGUAUUUCCCUUGGUUGAAGUAUAAUGGUAACAGUUUCCCCCGGAAAUAAACUUGCUCUUCCAGGCUUCCUGAGCUUUAAUACAUUUGCUCAUCUAACCGUCUCCGUAGCCCUGCGUUACUGACCAGGGAAUUGGGCAGCAGGAGUUGUUGAGCUUGGACUCAGACCCAGGAGUUCCAGCUUCAGAACCUGACUUCUCAACUCCGUGCGCCCCAUGGUUGCCAGGGUGCAAGCUCUUCUGUCUUGUGGAUGAGGUGGAGAUCCUAGGGAUACCCGCUGCCCGGAGACCGCUGGGGAAAGCCUCAAACCCAGAGGGUAGGCAAGAGUCAGUUUACAGUUGCGAAGCCAUCCUUUGGAGUUAAGAAAGCUACUGCAAGAAUCGUAACCACCUUUGUUCCGUAUGAACAUCUGUAAACCUACUUUUGCUCACCCUGUACAUUCAAGCUGGUGAACCUUUUUGGUGAAUUUUAAGUUUCCAUUCAAAAGGCAGUUUGUGGUGCAUAUUCAGAAUAUUUUUGAGUGCCUCGAUAAAUGUGUAUAUAACAAAUCUGGGAUGCUGUGAAUCCACUCACAUUUUCUAUGUUCAAAAAUAGACCUUAUUAAAUAAUUUGAAACACAUUUUUGUUCAUGUGUACAAAUGCAAAUCAGCUAAUUUAUAUAUUUUUAAGUCACUAUUUAGAACAUGAGUUUUUUCUUAAUUCAUGAAAACACUACAUUUUGUUGAUGUACACAAAUGUAAAUGAGCUAGUUUACGUAUUUUAAAUAACUGUUUAUAGCAUGCAUUUUUUCCUUAAUUGGUGAAAAAUGAUAUUGAAUAAGGUCUGUUUUGAAAAUUCGUUUCUUCUGCUGAGUCAUCUUCUCUUUGCUCUUUCUCCCUUUCUCUCUGACAUCCUCAGUUCUUCGCUUGCUGUGAUUUUCCUGGCUUUCUCCUUUCGUGGAACCAACCCCUUCAAGGUCAAGAAACCACUCUAAUUUGCACUUGGGAGAUAUUUGUCAACGAAAAGUUUCAAUCCCCAACAAGCGACUGGGAUUCUGGGCUUAGGUUGCUUUAUUAAGCUUUGUAUUUGUUGACUCUGGGUAAAAAAGUAAUAUGUGUAGAAGAAUUACAAAGGUGACUCUUCAAAGCCUGUGGGAGGAUCAUAACCUUAAAACGUGCUCGCUCAAAGCCAUGAAAACGGAUGAGCUCCCCAAGAGCCACACAGCAAUAUACCUUUAUGGGCGUCUAGAAGGAAUACGUGAAUUCCACGUGGGCCUCGAUAGCCUUUUGCAGAAAAUGGGGAAGAGCUUUGUGUUCCAGGCGUUUACGAUGUUUCGGGUUGCGUCAUGUGCAUCUGACAUUUAACUUGAAAGUGGUCCAUUGAAAACGUCAUCUGGUUUUCAUUUGUCGGGGCCCCCUUGAAAACGCGAGGGUGGACUCUGGGACUGCCUCGGGUCCUCCCAGCUCCAAGGCUUCUGUGGUUGUUCGAGUCUACGAUAAAUGCAGAUUUUAUUUGCUAGCGCAACCGUAGGAUUUUAGAGUUUAUAAAACAUUUUCCACAUACCUCAUUCUGUCUUAAAGGAGGGUAAGAGGGGGGAAGUCCCAGUUAAAUCUAGGUUAGGAUACAGAAUAUCCAACACCUUCGAUAUUUUUCUAUGUCGUUUGCUUUUGAGAUGGAAAGGAAUGUUCUCAUUCAAAGGUAAUUCUGGGAGAAUGAGAAUCUUACUCACAUCCAACACCUUCUAAAGGAUUAUCAAACACCUGUUAAAGAGGUGCACGCGUGAUGUUUCAUGCCACUGAAAAGUGGUUUCACCAGGUGGAAGAAUUUGAAUAAAUCACGGCCUGAUCUAAUUUAAAUAUUCGGUUCAUCGGCUUCAGAGAGUUGAGGGACAAUAUUGAUUUUUUUCUGGGAUCGUGUGAAUCCACUCACAUUUUCCAUGUUCUAAAAUAGACCUCAGUCUGCUGGUUGCGUUAGCUCUGCUUUCCCGGGAAACUCAGGUCUGUGCAGAAAUGUCAAGGCUAGCUGUGGUUAUGCCUGCCCUGAAUUUUAAAAAAUGUAAUAACUGAAUCUUUUUCUACAGGGCCUA